UGCUCUGGUGGCCUAGUGGUUAGAGCGUCCGCCUCGGAUGCGGGAGGUCGCUGGUUCAAAACCAGGCCAAGUAC